rnacentral:rRNA from 2 species
ACCAUGCAAGUCGAACGAUGAUCUCCAGCUUGCUGGGGGGAUUAGUGGCGAACGGGUGAGUAACACGUGAGUAACCUGCCCUUGACUCUGGGAUAAGCCUGGGAAACUGGGUCUAAUACCGGAUAUGACCAUUCCGCGCAUGCGGUGGUGGUGGAAAGCUUUUGCGGUUUUGGAUGGACUCGCGGCCUAUCAGCUUGUUGGUGGGGUAAUGGCCUACCAAGGCGACGACGGGUAGCCGGCCUGAGAGGGUGACCGGCCACACUGGGACUGAGACACGGCCCAGACUCCUACGGGAGGCAGCAGUGGGGAAUAUUGCACAAUGGGCGCAAGCCUGAUGCAGCGACGCCGCGUGAGGGAUGACGGCCUUCGGGUUGUAAACCUCUUUCAGUAGGGAAGAAGCGAAAGUGACGGUACCUGCAGAAGAAGCGCCGGCUAACUACGUGCCAGCAGCCGCGGUAAUACGUAGGGCGCAAGCGUUAUCCGGAAUUAUUGGGCGUAAAGAGCUCGUAGGCGGUUUGUCGCGUCUGCUGUGAAAGACCGGGGCUCAACUCCGGUUCUGCAGUGGGUACGGGCAGACUAGAGUGAUGUAGGGGAGACUGGAAUUCCUGGUGUAGCGGUGAAAUGCGCAGAUAUCAGGAGGAACACCGAUGGCGAAGGCAGGUCUCUGGGCAUUAACUGACGCUGAGGAGCGAAAGCAUGGGGAGCGAACAGGAUUAGAUACCCUGGUAGUCCAUGCCGUAAACGUUGGGCACUAGGUGUGGGGGACAUUCCACGUUUUCCGCGCCGUAGCUAACGCAUUAAGUGCCCCGCCUGGGGAGUACGGCCGCAAGGCUAAAACUCAAGAAAA